rnacentral:rRNA from 1 species
UACGUAGGGUGCGAGCGUUGUCCGGAAUUAUUGGGCGUAAAGAGCUCGUAGGCGGUCUGUCGCGUCGAUCGUGAAAACUUGGGGCUUAACCCUGAGCUUGCGGUCGAUACGGGCAUGACUGGAGUUCGGCAGGGGAGACUGGAUUCCUGGUGUAGCGGUGAAAUGCGCAGAUAUCAGGAGGAACACCGGUGGCGAAGGCGGGUCUCUGGGCCGAUACUGACGCUGAGGAGCGAAAGCGUGGGGAGCGAACAGG